UCGGUUCACCGAGAAAUGGGAGUGGCGAACGGGUGAGUAACACGUGGGUAACCUACCCAUCAGCGGGGGAUAACACUUGGAAACAGGUGCUAAUACCGCAUAAUUCUUUUCUUCGCCUGAAGGAAAGAUGAAAGACGCUUUUGCGUCACUGAUGGAUGGACCCGCGCUGCAUUAGCUAGUUGGUGGGGUAACGGCUCACCAAGGCCACGAUGCAUAGCCGACCUGAGAGGGUGAUCGGCCACACUGGGACUGAGACACGGCCCAGACUCCUACGGGAGGCAGCAGUAGGGAAUCUUCGGCAAUGGACGAAAGUCUGACCGAGCAACGCCGCGUGAGUGAAGAAGGUUUUCGGAUCGUAAAACUCUGUUGUUAGAGAAGAAUAAGGAUGAGAGUAGAAUGUUCAUCCCUUGACGGUAUCUAACCAGAAAGCCACGGCUAACUACGUGCCAGCAGCCGCGGUAAUACGUAGGUGGCAAGCGUUGUCCGGAUUUAUUGGGCGUAAAGCGAGCGCAGGCGGUUUCUUAAGUCUGAUGUGAAAGCCCCCGGCUUAACCGGGGAGGGUCAUUGGAAACUGGGAGACUUGAGUGCAGAAGAGGAGAGUGGAAUUCCAUGUGUAGCGGUGAAAUGCGUAGAUAUAUGGAGGAACACCAGUGGCGAAGGCGACUCUCUGGUCUGUAACUGACGCUGA
rnacentral:rRNA from 1 species